GCCCACUGAUGAGAUCAUGGCAAGUUUUAUGAUCCAGUCAGACCAAGAGAUUGUGGUGUCUAGCCUGCUGUUUGGUGGGUAGUCUUGGUAGUAUGGUGGAGUUUUACUGCGCUGCUGUAAGGGCCCACCCACAGUUAACUUGUCACCUUCUACAACCUCUGCCCCCCAAGAGCAAUGGGAUGGGAUAGGUAGGAGAUGCCAGACAAUGUGUGGAUGUUUGUUUGUCUGUGUGUGAAUUGUAUGAAUGCAUAUGUAUCAGCUGGCAAGAACUAUAUUCUCUUUCUAGUUCGUUUGGCAGAUAUGAACUUUGUCUUUGGUAAUCUGAGGGCA